UACAGAGGUCUCAAGCGUUGUUCGGAAUCACUGGGCGUAAAGGGUGCGUAGGCCGCCCGGUAAGUCAGAGGUGAAAUCCCGGAGCUCAACUCCGGAAUUGCCUCCGAUACUGCCGUGCUCGAGGACUGGAGAGGAGUCUGGAAUUCACAGUGGAGCAGUGAAAUGCGUAGAUAUUGUGAGGAACACUAGUGGCGAAGGCGAGACUCUGGACAGUUCCUGACGCUGAGGCACGAAGGCCAGGGGAGCAAACGGG
rnacentral:rRNA from 1 species